AUGCAGUCGANCGGANAGGAGCUGCUCGCCCUUUCUUUCUUGGUGGCGCGCGGAUGAACAAUGGAUUAAUCACCUGCCCCUUGCGGGGGGACAACUCAUGGAAANGGCUGCNAAUACCCCAUACUCCUUCUUCCUCGNAGGCUGCUNGGAAAAGCGCCGACGCUCAGGGAUGGGGCUGUAUCCUAACUCCUCGGUCGUGAGGUAAUGGGGCGCCAAAGCGAUGACCCGUAGCUGGUCUGAGAGGAUGAUCUGCCACACUGAACCUGAGACACGGACCUGACUCCUACGGGAGACUCCUACGGGGAGUAUUGCUGGGUGGGUGAGACCCUGGGGCAAAAACCCGACGCGGAGGAUGACCCAGUUCGAUGAGUGAACUCCUUUUAUAAGGCAAUAUAAUAACGGAACACUAUGAAGAAGCACAAGCUACCUCCGUGCCAACAGCNCCCGCAAUGNNAGCACCGGCUAACUCCGUGACA
rnacentral:rRNA from 1 species